UUGAUCAUGGCUCAGAUUGAACGCUGGCGGCAGGCUUAACACAUGCAAGUCGAGCGGAGAGAGGUAGCUUGCUACUGAUCUUAGCGGCGGACGGGUGAGUAAUACUUAGGAAUCUGGCUAUUAGUGGGGGACAACAUUUCGAAAGGGAUGCUAAUACCGCAUACGUCCUACGGGAGAAAGCAGGGGAUCUUCGGACCUUGCGCUAAUAGAUGAGCCUAAGUCGGAUUAGCUAGUUGGUGGGGUAAAGGCCUACCAAGGCGACGAUCUGUAGCGGGUCUGAGAGGAUGAUCCGCCACACUGGGACUGAGACACGGCCCAGACUCCUACGGGAGGCAGCAGUGGGGAAUAUUGGACAAUGGGGGGAACCCUGAUCCAGCCAUGCCGCGUGUGUGAAGAAGGCCUUAUGGUUGUAAAGCACUUUAAGCGAGGAGGAGGGUACUGGUAUUA
rnacentral:rRNA from 1 species